GUGGACCAUGUAGGUCACAUGUUUCCUCAACAUAUACAUAAUGUGCCAUCUGUGUACUUCUUAUGUACAACCACAAGAGAAAUCACAUUAAAAUGUGCAGAGAGUAGUUGGGAGGAGAAAACAAGAGGGCACCUUUGUGAAAAAUCAAGAAUUCAAAUACCAGUUGGAUCAGUACAUAUACAUAUCGAUCAGACCAUGACCAAGGACUGGAAACCACAAAAUAUGACUCGGCAGCAAAUAAUAUUAAUUUCCUGAUUCCUUUUUCAAUUAUAUAGGAUGAUACAAAUCGGUAAAAUUGUCCGGUAUUCUGGUACCAUAACAGUCGACAGGAUUCACUAUCGGUGUAGUACCGAGAUUGUAAACCUUGAUGGUAAGGAAACCUCGUCGAAGAAGACAACAUCAGCUAGAUGGGCCAAUUAGAGCAGCGGGACAUCAUGGAGGCAUACAAGAGGGCGAGUAAAUGUUUUCUUGCUAAAAUUUAUGAUUUCGCAUAAAAUAAACACAAUAGGAAUUUUUCUUUAGUGCUAUCAAGGAGAUGAUUGAGUUCUACAAAGAAAAUUAAAUAAGGUUUGAUAAGGCAUAUUUUGGAUCCCUGCCACGUUACGACCCACGCCACAUCACGCCCCUGCCAAGUCAGCAUGAGGGGUGCUUCCCCGUACCGAGCCGAAGCCCGUACAGGGAGGCGCCCCCUCGACGAGUCUCGUCCCGGAAAGCUCAGGACGGCACCGCAUGGCAUCGUUCCGUGCAUACCAGGCGGCGGCCGCACAAUGGUACCGUCUCGUCACUUAGGGGAUCAGCCACCACGCCAAAUCCGCGUACGAUCGAUCCUCGGGCAACAGUAUAAAAACCCCUUACCGGCAUCUGGCCAGGGGACGAAAGAGAGAUUACAGACUUAAUCUACGAGGGGCCCAAGUCGGGAACCCCCCGACCAGGGCCUGUGUGCAGGAACUCAGCCACUCCUGGAGGCACGGCAGUCCCGACCGAGAGACACCUUCCCAGAAGAUGGCAUCAGCGUCCCGACCCCUGAUCUAGUCGGCUACAACACUUCUUCCAAUCAACCGAGAGACGCGUUCCCAGAAGACGGCAUCACCGACCCGACCCCUGAUCCAGUCGGCUACAGCACUUCUUCCGAUCAACCAAGAGACGCGUUCCCAAAAGACGGCGCAUAAGUUCACCAACAAGGUUCAAUGACAGGCUCGUCAAAGUGGCAUCAAACAGUCAAUUCACGAACAAUUUACAUAAUUAACCGGAGUCCAAGCAUAAGAAUCGCAAACGAGAGAACACAUCCUUAUCGGAGAAGGCGAUCUACACAACAAUCAAACGGGC
rnacentral:lncRNA from 1 species